GAUGAACGCUGGCGGUAUGCUUAACACAUGCAAGUCGAACGGUCUCUUCGGAGAUAGUGGCGGACGGGUGAGUAACGCGUGAGAAUCUGGCUCUAGGUUUGGGACAACCACUGGAAACGGUGGCUAAUACCGGAUAUGCCGAAAGGUGAAAGGUUAACUGCCUGGAGAUGAGCUCGCGUCUGAUUAGCUAGUUGGUAGGGUAAAAGCUUACCAAGGCGACGAUCAGUAGCUGGUCUGAGAGGACGAUCAGCCACACUGGGACUGAGACACGGCCCAGACUCCUACGGGAGGCAGCAGUGGGGAAUUUUCCGCAAUGGGCGAAAGCCUGACGGAGCAAUACCGCGUGAGGGAGGAAGGCUCUUGGGUUGUAAACCUCUUUUCUCAGGGAAGAAUAAUGACGGUACUUGAGGAAUAAGCAUCGGCUAACUCCGUGCCAGCAGCCGCGGUAAUACGGAGGAUGCAAGCGUUAUCCGGAAUGAUUGGGCGUAAAGCGUUCGCAGGUGGCAUUGAAAGUCUGCUGUCAAAGAGUCUGGCUUAACCAGAUACAGGCAGUGGAAACUACAAAGCUAGAGUGCGGUAGGGGCAGAGGGAAUUCCUGGUGUAGCGGUGAAAUGCGUAGAGUUCAGGAAGAACACCGGUGGCGAAAGCGCUCUGCUAGGCCGCAACUGACACUGAGGGACGAAAGCUAGGGGAGCGAAUGGGAUUAGAUACCCCAGUAGUCCUAGCCGUAAACGAUGGAUACUAGGCGUUGCUCGUAUCGACCCGAGCAGUGCCGUAGCUAACGCGUUAAGUAUCCCGCCUGGGGAGUACGCACGCAAGUGUGAAACUCAAAGGAAUUGACGGGGGCCCGCACAAGCGGUGGAGUAUGUGGUUUAAUUCGAUGCAACGCGAAGAACCUUACCAAGGCUUGACAUGUCCGGAACUCUGUUGAAAGAUAGAGGUGCCUUCGGGAGCCGGAACACAGGUGGUGCAUGGCUGUCCUCAGCUCGUGUCGUGAGAUGUUGGGUUAAGUCCCGCAA
rnacentral:rRNA from 1 species